AUUGAACGCUGGCGGCAUGCCUUACACAUGCAAGUCGAACGGUAACAGGUCUUCGGAUGCUGACGAGUGGCGAACGGGUGAGUAAUACUUCGGAACGUGCCUAGUAGUGGGGGAUAACUACUCGAAAGAGUGGCUAAUACCGCAUGAGAUCUACGGAUGAAAGCAGGGGAUCGCAAGAACUUGUGCUACUAGAGCGGCCGAUGGCAGAUUAGGUAGUUGGUAGGAUAAAAGCUUACCAAGCCGACGAUCUGUAGCUGGUCUGAGAGGACGAUCAGCCACACUGGGACUGAGACACGGCCCAGACUCCUACGGGAGGCAGCAGUGGGGAAUUUUGGACAAUGGGCGCAAGCCUGAUCCAGCAAUGCCGCGUGCAGGAUGAAGGCCUUCGGGUUGUAAACUGCUUUUGUACGGAACGAAAAGCCCUGGGUUAAUACCCUGGGGUCAUGACGGUACCGUAAGAAUAAGCACCGGCUAACUACGUGCCAGCCGCCGCAGUAAAAC
rnacentral:rRNA from 1 species